GUUACCAGUGCUACAACCAUUGUAACUUACAUACUCAGCUUUGUGGACCAGACCAACGUGUUACCAGUGCUACAACCAUUGUAACUUACACACUCAGCCUUGUGGACCAGACCAAUAUGCCACAACCAAGAUUACUCACAAACACUUUUGGGCACAUUCCCCUCAGUUUCAACCAGUGCUCUCAAUUUCAAACAAUUUUCGUUAGAACCCUAUUUUCACAUUAGUGGUAUUCAAAUAGUCAACCUGUACAGUCAAAUGUAAAUUGUUAAACGUCUCCAAUAUUCCACAAUGAUUCUGCAGCAUUUGUACCACUGAAGCUAGCAUAGGUGUCACUAAAGAAUUAAAAGAAUCGUGGUGUUAUGAUAACAUAGGUGUCACUAAAGAAUUAAAAGAAUCGUGGUGUUAUGAUAACAUAGGUGUCACUAAAGAAUUAAAAGAAUCGUGGUGUUAUGAUAGCAUAGGUGUCACUAAAGAAUUAAAAG